rnacentral:rRNA from 1 species
AACAUGUUUUUUUGUUUAUAUAUAAAGUCUAACCUGCCCACUGUAUUAUAAAUGGCCGCAGUAUUUUGACUGUGCUAAGGUAGCAUAAUCAUUAGUUUUUUAAUUAAAAGCUGGAAUGAAAGGUUGAAUGAAAAAAUAUCUUUAUUUUAUGAAUAUAAUUAAAAUUUAAUUUUUAAGUUAAAAAGCUUAAAUUUUUAUUAAAGACGAGAAGACCCUAUAGAGUUUUAUAUUUGUAUAAUUAUAAUUAUUUAGUAAUAAAUUAAUAUAAUUUAUUAAAUAUUAAAUUGGGGUGAUUAAAAAAUUAAUUUNACUUUUUUAUAAUUUUUAUAUUUAUUANUAAAUUAAUGAUCCUAAUUUUUAGAUUAUAAGUAAAAAUUACCUUAGGGAUAACAGCGUAAUUUUAUUAAAGAGUUCAAAUCGAAAAUAUAAGUUGCGACCUCGAUGUUGGAUUAAAAUUUAUAUUUAANGUAGAAGUUAA